UACGUAGGUGGCGAGCGUUGUCCGGAUUUACUGGGCGUAAAGAGCGCGCAGGCGGCUGGUCAAGUCGCGUGUGAAAGCCCCCGGCUCAACUGGGGAGGGUCACGCGAUACUGAUCGACUCGAAGGCAGGAGAGGGUAGUGGAAUUCCCGGUGUAGUGGUGAAAUGCGUAGAUAUCGGGAGGAACACCAGUGGCGAAGGCGACUACCUGGCCUGUUCUUGACGCUGAGGCGCGAAAGCUAGGGGAGCAAACGGG
rnacentral:rRNA from 1 species